rnacentral:rRNA from 1 species
GACGAACGCUGGCGGCGUGCCUAAUACAUGCAAGUUGAGCGCUGAAGGUUGGUACUUGUACCAACUGGAUGAGCAGCGAACGGGUGAGUAACGCGUGGGGAAUCUGCCUUUGAGCGGGGGACAACAUUUGGAAACGAAUGCUAAUACCGCAUAAAAACUUUAAACACAAGUUUUAAGUUUGAAAGAUGCAAUUGCAUCACUCAAAGAUGAUCCCGCGUUGUAUUAGCUAGUUGGUGAGGUAAAGGCUCACCAAGGCGAUGAUACAUAGCCGACCUGAGAGGGUGAGCGGCCACAUUGGGACUGAGACACGGCCCAAACUCCUACGGGAGGCAGCAGUAGGGAAUCUUCGGCAAUGGACGAAAGGCUGACCGAGCAACGCCGCGUGAGUGAAGAAGGUUUUCGGAUCGUAAAACUCUGUUGGUAGAGAAGAACGUUGGUGAGAGUGGAAAGCUCAUCAAGUGACGGUAACUACCCAGAAAGGGACGGCUAACUACGUG